ACCCUCAAUUUUUUAACCUUAUACCAAACGCACCCUAAUAAGUAGUUGAGGUGAUGUAACAAAUUUAUUUUCUUAAUGUUGAUUUUCGAUGUGAGAGGGUGUGUUUGGAUUGAAGAGUUGAAUGAUUCAUUUAUUUGUGGAAUCGAGAAUUGAGUUAAGUGUGUAUAUUUUGAUUUUAAUGUGUUGGGUUUGAAUCUAGAUUUUUUAUAUGGAUAUUUCUUGUUACAAAUACUGAUUCAGUUAAAUUUUGAGCUUUGGAAUGUGUAUUCUUUGAAUGAGAGUGAGUUGGCAUUAUUUGAGAUGAUUUUUAGUAUUUUAAUGUUGCUUAUUAAGUGUAAAAAUUGAGAAUUCUAGAGAAUUACUAUUCACAUUUUCUGUAGAAUUUACUGUUCA
rnacentral:misc_RNA from 1 species